rnacentral:tRNA from 1 species
GGGCUUGUAGCUUAGUCGGUAGAGCGACAGACUCUUAAUCUGUAGGUCAUGGGUUCGAAUCCCUUCAGGCCCG